UUAAAAAAGGGAAGGAGGAGGAUCUGGGGAACUACAGGCCAGUCAGCCUCACCUCAGUCCAUGGAAAAAUCAUGGAGCAGGUCCUCAAGGAAUCAAUUCUGAAGCACUUAGAGGAGAGGAAAGUGAUCAGGAACAGUCAGCAUGGAUUCACCAAGGGCAAGUCAUGCCUGACUAACCUAAUUGCCUUCUAUGACGAGAUAACUGGGUCUGUGGAUGAGGGGAAAGCAGUGGACUUGUUAUUCCUUGACUUUAGCAAAGCUUUUGAUAUGGUCUCCUACAGUAUUCUUGCAGGCAAGUUAAAGAAGUAUGGGCUGGAUGAAUGGACUAUAAGGUGGAUAGAAAGCUGGCUAGAUCGUUGGGCUCAACGGGUAGUGAUCAAUGACUCCAUGUCUAGUUGGCAGCCAGUAUCAAGCGGAGUGCCCCAAGGAUCGGUCCUGGGGCCGGUUUUGUUCAAUAUCUUCAUUAAUGAUCUGGAGGAUGGCAUGGACUGCACCCUCAGCAAGUUUGCAGAUGACACUAAACUGGGAGUGGUAUAUAUGCUGGAGGGUAGGGAUAGGAUACAGAGGGACCUAGACAAAUUAGAGGAUUGGGCCAAAAGAAAUCUGAUGAGGUUCAACAAGGACAAGUGCAGAGUCCUGCACUUAGCACUGUUACAGACUAGGGACCAAAUGGCUAGGCAGCAGUUCUGCAGAAAAGGACCUAGGGGUCACAGUGGACGAGAAACUGGAUAUGAGUCAACAGUGUGCCCUUGUUGCCAAGAAGGCGAACGGCAUUUUGGGCUGUAUAAGUAGGGGCACUGCCAGCAGAUCAAGGGAUGUGAUCAUUCCCCUUUAUUCGACAUUGGUGAGGCCUCAUCUGGAGUACUGUGUCCAGUUUUGGGCCCCACAUUACAAGAAGGAUGUAGAAAAAUUGGAAAGAGUCCAGCGGAGGGCAACAAAAAUGAUUUGGGGGCUGGAGCACAUGACUUAUGAGGAGAGGCUGAGGGAACUGGGAUUGUUUAGUCUGCAGAAGAGAAGAAUGAGGGG
rnacentral:lncRNA from 1 species